rnacentral:rRNA from 1 species
GAUGAACGCUAGCGGGAGGCCUAACACAUGCAAGCCGAGCGGUAUUGUUUCUUCGGAACUGAGAGAGGGGCGUACGGGUGCGUAACACGUGUGCAACCUGCCUUUAUCUGGGGGAUAGCCUUUCGAAAGGAAGAUUAAUACUCCAUAAUAUAUUGAACGGCAUCGUUUAAUAUUGAAAGCUCCGGCGGAUAGAGAUGGGCACGCGCAAGAUUAGCUAGUUGGUGAGGUAACGGCUCACCAAGGCGAUGAUCUGUAGGGGGCCUGAGAGGGUGAUCCCCCAGACUGGUACUGAGACACGGACCAGACUCCUACGGGAGGCAGCAGUGAGGAAGAUUGGUCAAGGGGUGCAAGCCUGAACCAGCCAUCCCGCGUGAAGGACGACUGCCCUAGGGGUUGUAAACUUCUUUUGUAUAGGGAUAAACCUACCCUCGAGAGGGUAGCUGAAGGUACUAGACGAAUAAGCACCGGCUAACUCCGUG